rnacentral:lncRNA from 1 species
CCGUCGGGUCCCCCCAUCCCAGGCCGCGCCCCGCCGCAGCCUGCAGGGCCGGGGUCCCGCCUGGGCCUGAGCCUGGGCCUCGGGCCUCCAGCACCCUGCGUGCCGAGCGACCCGGGUGCGCACACGGAGGGCGCCGCGGCCCCGACUUCGGAGAUCAAAGGGGCGGUCGAGACGGGGCGUCCGCUGGGUGCAGCCCUGACCCCGGAGGAAGGGCGGGAGCCGGGAGCAGGCGGCGGCCCGGGGUCAGGCCGCGGUCGGCCUCGCAGCGCAGACGCUGGGCCGAGGAAACGGGGGGAGGGGGGGGGCUGUGCGGUGGCCGAGGCCUCGGAGAGGUCCCUGCGGAUGAGCGCUGGGGGGGCGCAGUUUUCCCUGAAACGUGUAUGUCAAGGUGGAAGACCUUUCCCCGAGCUUGAGCUGAACAGCCAAAGCUGGGAGAGCAGGAAAAAGGGAGGACGAAGUUGCCUGAAAUUCAGAUUUAAGAUGGAAGAGGCUGUGACAACUGGAGGGAAGUCCACGUGAACCGCAGAGCAGAGAACAGAGAUAUGCAAACAAAUAUGUUCUUUUCCACCUUUUAUUUAUUAUUUUUAUUUAUUUAUUUAUUAUUAUUAUUUUGACUUUUCACCUUUUAAACCGUGGGAGACCAGGAAGCCGACUGAGCCAACCCCUUCCCCCCACGUGAGGCUUCAGGAAUAGAGAGAAGGCUGCGUGCGACCCAAAAUACUCGUGUCCUUCAAAAACUGCUGCUCCAGGCCACUUUGAGAAGAAGAAUGUAACAUCCUAACUGCACGGCAGUCCCAUUAAACCCCUGCCCAGAAUCCCUCCUGAUCCUAAGGAGCUUGUUAUGGCUUGGGGCUAAGGAGCCUCAAAACACUGAAUUACACGGGGCCACUGCAAGCCUGCAGGGCCUUUGAAUGGCCUUGAGGCCUGCGUGUGGGGCGAGGGGAAGGUUCGGGGGUCAGGGGAGAAGAGGAGGUGCCUGUCCACCAGGGUCAAGGCUAAUGUGUUGAUUUGUGAGAUUUGUGAGAGGACGUGUGUGGCCCUGUGCCGCUGAUAGCAGGUUUGUGAGUUGUGUUUUUGAGUGUUUGUGAGUGAAUGUGUUUGCGAGACUCCUGUGUGUGACAGUGCGUGAGCUGGCAUGUUGUGUGUAUCUGUGUGUGUGUGUGUGUGUGUGUGCAUGGGAGUGUUUGGCUGUGUGGCAACGUGUGCGAUCAUGCAUUGGUGAGUGUGUGUGUGCGCGUGUGCCCACCGGCCCUCUCCAUCCCGGAGCCCGGCCUUCCGGGGCCAUCUGUUUCCACUUAGCAGCAUCCCGAUGGGGAGAAGGCCCGUCCUGGGGCCGCCCCGGAGCGCGCCGCCCGGUUCUGCUGCGUGGAAGGCGGAGGCGGGCGCCCUGGCCAGCGGGCCCUGCACCGCCGGGCAGCCACACAAAGAGCCCUCUUUCCUGCCGCCAGCCGCCCAGCCGGGCCCUCCUGGAUCAUAAACCUGCCGGCGAAGACAUUCAGAAAUAGUUCACCCGCGUUCCCGCGAGCAUGUGCGAAGGCUGGAAUUCCAUUUGCUAUAAAGUUUUAUUU